rnacentral:rRNA from 1 species
AUAAUGACUCUCGGCAACGGAUAUCUCGGCUCUCGCAUCGAUGAAGAACGCAGCGAAAUGCGAUACCUGGUGUGAAUUGCAGAAUCCCGUGAAUCAUCGAGUCUUUGAACGCAAGUUGCGCCCGAGGCCUUCGGCCGAGGGCACGCCUGCCUGGGCGUCACG